AGCUUGAUGCCAUGUUGCCAGUAGCAGAGAGAAGUGAUUGCAUUUACACAUUAAUAGGUAUGACCAGGCACAUAGCAAUUUCACACAUUAAUAGGAACCUGUGGGUUUCUAGGUUUAUCCAUGGGGCUGGUUUCUGUGCUUACACAU